GUUUACUGGGGUAAGGUUAACAGCCCGAUAUUUUAUCAUGGUAUUUGGCUAUAUUUUUUAAUAAAGUGCCCGCUGGUUGCAAUUGGGCGGUAAAUC
rnacentral:tRNA from 2 species